rnacentral:misc_RNA from 1 species
AACUGAUACUACCUGCGGGAACCUGCGGAAGGAUCAUUACCGAGCUCGUGCCCUUCGGGGCAGAUCUCCCACCCGAUGUCAUGACUACGAUGUUGCUUUGGCGGGCCGCCGGGCCCUGCCCGCCAGAGGUCUCCUAGACUCUGAAUAUUAGUGUCGUCCGAGUAUCACAGAAUAGUCAAAACUUUUAACAACGGAUCUCU